rnacentral:rRNA from 1 species
CAAUAGCGUAUAUUAAAGUUGUUGCGGUUAAAAAGCUCGUAGUUGGAGUUCUGCCAGGUGCCGUCUGUCCGCCCCAGUGGUGAGUACGUGACGCGCAUUUGGCCCUUUCAAGGGGAGCGUAUCUGCACUUUACUGUGUGGUGCGGGAUCCUUGACUUUUACUUUGAGGAAAUAGGAGUGUUCCAAGCAGGCUCUCGUCGUGCACAGCUCAGCAUGGAAUAAUAGCAUUGGACCUCGAUUCUAAGCUGUUGGUUGCCAGAAGCGAGGUAAUGAUGAAGAGGGAUAGUUGGGGGCAUUCGUAUUUAACUGUCAGAGGUGAAAUUCUUGGAUUUGUUAAGGACGGACUACUGCGAAAGCAUCUGCCAUGGAUGUUUUCAUUGA